rnacentral:lncRNA from 1 species
UGUCUCUGUUUUCCUUGUAGUUGUUGUCCAACCAUCUCCUGACCUUCAACCCUGCAUCGCCUCACCAACCCAAAGGCACUUUUUUCUAUUUUUCUGUCCAUCCACCUGACUGUCUGUCUGUCUGUCUUAAUAUUCAGUCUUAAUCACUAUCCUGUAUCGUGUCUGUCAUAAUGCCGGGAGGGUCUACGAAGAAGACGUGUCCCUUCUGCCAGGGGAUUUUAUAUUGUGCACAGAAGGUGUGCUCUCACUGCAACAAGGUGCAGCCAGUGAAGCAGCGCCUCAGAAAAAAGCUCGAGAAGUUUGAUGAGCGUCGGGAAAAAUGGGCGGUUGGUCGUAUAAAGCACAGAAACGUAGCGUGCAUCAAGGAUGAAGCCGUCAUCAUGCUUGAAAAAUUUCACGCUAUUGGUUACAAACCAAUACUUCUACUUGGAAAAACGAAGAAGGAGCAAACAAAGUGCGAAAUUCUCAGCCCUCGCUGCAAGCUUAGCGUCAUUUCCCAAGACUACCUUAAAAGAAUAGGCGUCUUUUUUGAGUUCCUUUGUGAAGGUUGGAGCCAGGAGUCAUUAGAAGGAACGAGUAACCAGGAGUAUGAGAGGGUCACAGUGGGUCAAGUGAACAAGGAGGAUGACGCAGACAUGGAGGAUGUGAGGAGCAGCAGGGAAGCGUGCAUAGAGGAGCUGACGACGCCUGCACAGGUGAAGGAGGAAGAACCCGAGGUGCGGCAGGUGGAGUUGGGGAGCACCGCGGGUCGACAGGUAGAUUUGGGGAGCACCGCUGGUCGACAGAUGGAGUUGGGGAGCACUGCGGGUCGACAGGUGGAGCAGACACACACGCUGAAGCGGCACGUGGAGCAGGCUAAUACAGCAGAGAAACAGGCUAACGUCACGGUAAAGAAGAGAUUGUACGACCAAGUGAUGUUAUCGAUGCGACUGCAAGAGGAAAAGAGCAUUUUGGUUUUGGAGAUGGUACAACAUUGCAUGUGGUUGCAGAAGCAGGCAGAGGAGAUAAAGAAGAAGGUGGCUGAGAACGACCAGGGAAAUGAAGGACUUUGUUGCCUCUUAAGAAGUCAACUUUCCGAGGUGUCGGACCAGUUACAGGUGGUUCUCCAACAGUACAGAACGGCUUUGAGUCCAGGGACGUCUGUGCUUCUACGGAAGGAGGGGGAGGAUCAAAGUGCCUUCAGCAGUUCAGAAAGCAGUGACGAUAAAGAAGAUGUCACAACUUAG